CAAAAUGCUCUAGCAAGAGGCAGAACGGAAGUAAAGGAAGUGUGCCGGGGAUCAAGACGUAGAAAGCACUCCUGACGUCUCGCCAAACGCAGAGCCUUCUAGCCCCGCGCUCCCUCAGCUGUACCACCAUCUAGCUUCUUCUCUGCGUUGCUAGGAGAACAGCCUUCUUCUAAGUUGCUUGGUGCUCGGCAGGUGAGGCAUCUCACUCACACUUACUUCUGACUCUCUGUCUGUCUGGGUCACUGGAAGCUUACGAGCACGUGAGAUGAAGCCCUGGGUGAACAGUGGUGCUAGGAGACCAGGAGAGGGGUGAAGAGCCGCCUCAGACAAUACUCCUGGACCUGGGCUGAAACAGGGAGCAGGGAUGACUGCAAACAAGAGGCUGAAAACAGCCGGCAGCAUUCAGUGCCACCCAAACCCAGAGCAGCAAGACUGCCGGAGAUUUCAGCCAAUUGGUUCAGAAAGGCAGACAUUAGAGAGUCAAGACUGGAAAGGGAGGAACAAGAAUGUGGAGAGUGGAGAAGACACCAAUGGCAUCGCAUAGCGGUUCUGACUCUCAUCUUCACAGCAGACCCAGAAGCAGUUGAGGAAAGGGACGUGGAGAAGUUGGAAAGUGCCACCACCGCCGCCCUCCAGCCUCACCCAUAUCCCAACUUGUCUUGAGCUCAAGACGGGGCUUCGGACCCUUUGUUCGCUCCAAGGACUCUCGGCUCUCUCAUGGGCAUGAAGUCCAGACCCACGACCCCACCUCUUCCCGCUUCUCUUGUGGUUGCUGACUCUGACUUCAGAACUCUUUUUGGCCUUCCUUAACCAGAGAUGGUGCUGACCCUGUCCUUGAAGGAGACACCCUCAGCAGCAGAAGGUGAAGAGGCUUCAGUGUGGCUGUAAUGAUGAACGGAAGGACAAGUCCCAGGAGCCAAUGUAGUGACACUGUGUUCUCCAAAAUAUUGUGCACCCUAAUAAAUUUA